GAUGAAGAACGUAGCGAAAUGCGAUAAGUAGUGUGAAUUGCAGAAUUCAGUGAAUCAUCGAAUCUUUGAACGCACAUUGCGCCUCCUGGUAUUCCGGGAGGCAUGCCUGUUCGAGCGUCAUUAAAAUCACUCAAGCUUAGGUUUACCUAUUGCUUGGUCUUGGAGAUGGAAGCCAAUUUAUUGGAAUCCUCUUCGAAAUUCAAUGGCGAAGACCCUUGCUCUCCCAAGUGUAGUAAUAACUUAUGUCACUGAAGGAAGCGAGAAAUCUUCUGCCGUAACCCCCAUAUUUUCUAUGAUUGACCUCGGAUCAGGUAGGGAUACCCGCUGAACUUAAGCAUAUCAAUAGCGGAGGA
rnacentral:misc_RNA from 1 species